rnacentral:lncRNA from 1 species
ACAAGCGUCCUGAUAAGAGAGAGACAAGAGGGUCAAAGUCAAAAAAAGGAGACCAUAUGACAAUGGAAGCAGAGGGAAGCAGAGUCAGAGAGAGAAGAUGCUAUGCUGUGGCUUGGAAGAUGGUGGAAGGAGCCACCAGCCAAAGACUGAGGGCAGCCACUAGAAGAUGGAAAAGGCAAGGAAUAGAUUCUUUCCUGAAACCUUCAGAAGAAAUGCAGCACUACUGACACCUUGAUUUUAGACUUCUGACCUCCAGCACUGAAGAUUAGCCCUGAGCUAACAUCUGCUGCCAAUCCUCCUCUUUUUGCUGAGGAAAACCGGCCCUAAGCUAACAUCUGUGCCCAUCUUCCUCUACUUUAUAUGUGGGAUGCCUGCCGCAGCAUGGCUUGCCAAGCAGUGCCAUGUCCACAUCCAGGAUCCCACGAACCCGGGCCGCCGAAGCAGAACAUGCGAACUUAAUCAUUGCGCCACCGGGCUGGCCCUUGGCCUCCCUUUCAAGACACAUUCUCUGCUAUAGCCUUACUACCAUAAUAUAGCUGACUAAAUGAUGGAGCUGGAUGGAGCUGAAUGGAGCUGAAGAACACAAGCAGAAUUGAUCCCAGGCAUUCCGAAGCCUGCCCUGGAGACUAACAAAACAAAACGAAACAAAAUAAGUGAAGGGGAAGGAGUGGAGGCUGGUGGAAGAAGUGGCAACAUUUAGACCUUAAUACUCAUGUGACCUCACUGCCUGGACUUGUGAAGCCUGAGGGUAUUUUAAUUUUAUAAGUAGUACGUAAUUUAAUAAGAAACAUACAGCAGGAUACACCCUUUGUACUACAACUACUGGAUUGCUUUGGCACAGCAAAAAUGCUCUGACACUUUACUUCAGAUUUAAUUCAAUUAAGAAACUGAGUUUCACACAGAAAGAAGGAGAGUUCCUAGCUGCUGGCGAAUCUAUUUAGUAGGUGAGUAAAGGAGAAAGGAUGAGCCUGCCUUGGGCAC